rnacentral:misc_RNA from 1 species
GAGAUUUUGUAACGCUACGCACAAUACACCCUUGUAAUUCGUCAACAGAAGUUAUAGUGCACUGCACUGCCUUUUCUUUUCAGUCAUAUCACAAAUAGAACUUAAGAAACAAAUAGACAACAAUUUUACAGUUCGAGAGGCACUGAAAACUAGCAGCAUUUUGUAGUCUAUCACCACAAGAUACAAGAAACAAGUUUUGUCUUCUCAAACGUGCUAUGAAUCCACUGUACACCUGCUUGUACGUAAACGAAAAAUAUAUCAUCGCAACCAUAAUGUUUGCAGUGAACACUGGGCAGAAAGCAGAAAGCAUUUCUCAAAUACGCUGUGUUUCCGAAGGUUGAGAUUCAGUAAGUUAGAGAAAUGCAGCAAAGCAGUCAACCUCUGUUGAAGAAAACUAUCAGUAAGUUUGACAAAUGCAGCAAAGCUAUGGACCUCUGUCAAAGAAAACUACCGCCAAGACCAUCACUACUCCUCUGUAUAAGAACUCGGUCUCUUUCAAUUGGCGUCAGAUGUAGCUUGUGGCACCUCUUGGUAUAUGCCCGAUUCAUCAUUAUAUGAGUACCAUUGUCCUGAUGAUGCAUUGCAAUACAGUCCAGAUGAUGGAUCAUAAUAGUAGCCCAAACUGCUGCUGUAGUAAUAACCAGAGGACUCAUCAAAGAGAUAAUCACCAUGCUGAUCACCUCCAUUAGGGGCAGGAUUAGCUGGAGUAUUUUCAUCGUCUUCACCAAACAUGUCAAAUGCAUCAUCGCUCUUGCUAGCUGAGUUAUAUGAAUUAGAUGAAGCCACAUCUGUCUUAUGCAUAGGAUGUCCUUCUGCAGUAGCAGUUGACCCACUGGGGAGGAAACCUUCAUCGAGAAUACUAUAGGGCUUAGGCUGCAUUGAUUCACUGGAUUUACCCUGUCUUGCUUGAGCUAACUUCUCGUAUCCCUCUGCUUCCCGCUGGAAACUCUCUUGCUUUUCUUCAUACACAUUGUAAUCUCCAUUCUCCAUUAGCUUCAUAGCAUCUUCUGUUAGCUGAUCAAACAGCUGCUUAGUUUCUCCAGACAUUUUGCCCUUGUUAUUGUUUGAGGUACCUUUCAAUCUCCUUAAACCUCGCAAAACUGUUUCUCCUGGUUCGAGCACAUCAGCAAUUCGCCUCUUCAUCUUUCCUAGUUGUUCUGAUGUAAGGUCUUGAAUCUCA